rnacentral:rRNA from 1 species
AUGUCAUCAUGCGCAUUUCAUUUGCAUACAUGUUCAUCUCAUGCAUCCGAGCAUUUUCCCCGUUGUCCGUUUUGCAAUCCGGCGCUUCGUUCUCCUCCGGUAGUCAUUUCUACCUUUCUUUCUUGUGUGGGGAUUAAACAUUUCUGGAUUGGACCGAAACUUGUCAUGCGGCCUUGGUUUACUACUGGUAGACCGCCUGUCAAGUUUCGUAUCAUUUGGACUUCGUUUGAUACUCCAACGGUUAACCGAGGGACCGAAAAGGCCUCGUGUGUGUUGCAGCCCAACACCCCCCCAAAUUUGGCCCAAAACCCACCAAACCCUGCUCCAUGUCCUAGAGCGUUCGAUCACGAUCGUGUGGCCGAAAACCGCACCUCAUUUGGACUCUCCUAG